rnacentral:rRNA from 14 species
CUACGGGAGGCAGCAGUAGGGAAUUUUCCGCAAUGGGCGAAAGCCUGACGGAGCAAUACCGCGUGAGGGACGACGGCCUGUGGGUUGUAAACCUCUUUUCUCAAGGAAGAAGUUCUGACGGUACUUGAGGAAUAAGCAUCGGCUAACUCUGUGCCAGCAGCCGCGGUAAUACAGAGGAUGCAAGCGUUAUCCGGAAUCACUGGGCAUAAAGCGUCUGUAGGUUGUUUGGUAAGUCUGCUGUUAAAGACUGGGGCUCAACCCCAGAAAAGCAGUGGAGACUGCCAGACUUGAGUGUGGUAGAGGUAGAGGGAAUUCCUAGUGUAGCGGUGAAAUGCGUAGAU